rnacentral:lncRNA from 1 species
UUUAAAUCAAUACUAGUACAAACUCUAUAAACCAUUUUUUUACACCACUGCUUCACAAUUACAUUGGUCGUGCUUCAUUGAAACUUCUCUCCCCUCAAUUUGACACUGUUAAACAGAAUUACUCUAAACAUUUUUGAACUGGAAACCAGAACUGUACAAUUCAUAAGAUUGAAAACCUAUUCUCGAAAAUUUGAAACCCCAAUAGACACAAUUCAAUUACAUUACACCAAACUAAAAUCCAACCUCUUCCAAGAAGAAAAAAAGACAUACUUCUUGUAAUAGAUAAUAAAAGAAAAGGGAGUUGAAGAAAUUUACUUGACAGAGGUGAUUCCAGUACUACCACAGUGAACAUAAAUGAAAGGUGCAGGCGUAUCUCGAUAAAUAGUCUACUGAAGGGGGAUUCCUUUUGGAUCCCCGACGACGACGUUUGGGGCCACAGCACCAGAUUGAUAAGGGCACAGCAUCGUCUGCCUCUACUACACCUUGCCCAGUAACGAAUCCUACCUAAUUUCAUCCAAAACAGGUGGUGCGAAUGGGUGUGAGAGAGAGGAUAUGCGAGAGAGAGAUGGGGGGAAACGGGAAUGGCUAUUUCUUUGUUUUGUAGAAAUAAUGUGUUUUGCUUUGAAAACUCUCAAAACGUCUUUUUGAGUUUCCAGUACAAUAUAUUUUUUUAUUUUUUAUUUUUGUUUUGAAAAAUUCAUUUUCGAAAAUAGAAAAGAGGACGCGUUUUCACCGUUUUCAAAAAUCGAAAACAAAAAACGGUCUGAAAACAGUAAAGAGAACAACCCCUAACUUUUUCUGAAUUAUGGAGGGGGAAGGAGGUGAAGUGCAACCAUGGCGAUUCUACCGGUGACUUUUCAAUUCCUCAUUCCUGUUCUUUCCUGUUGAUUUUUAGAAAUUAUGUUUGUGGUUUUGUUGUUAGUGUUGUGGGCGUUGGAUGAGUUUGGAUAUCCAACAUUUGUUGGGAUUUGUUUAUAUAUAUUAAUCGAUGAAAUUGUUGUUGUAUAUAAUUUUUAAGUGGGUUAAGUUAUAUAUAUAUAUAUAUGCUGUUUGUUUUGGUUGUUUUCAUGUUCACUUUUAGAACAAAAAAUGCACAAUGACCACUUUGUCUAAAUUCGGUUAACUUGGAAUUUUGCAGGUGAUGGAGGGUGGUGUUAGUGUAGCUAUCAGGCUUUCUCUAUACAUUUACUUUUGAUCAAAAAAUAUAAGCUUAAAAAUUACCAAUUCUGUUACUUUUGAAAUCAUCGUUUCUUCCUCUAUUCUGUUGGUUAUUGGAGUGGUGACAAUGCAAGUGGUGGUAGUUUGCAAAUAUUGGUGGUGGUAGUGUUACUAACAGUGGUCACAUGUUCAUAAAGUGUACAAUAUGACUUAUGACUUGUGAAUAUAAUUCUAUGACCUGUGACCAAUUCUAUUUGAUUCGUGACUUGCAAACUGUCAACAUUGUUUCGUGACCUAUGCACAAUGACUUGUGACGUGUAAACUGAUUAUAUGUCAUUUGUCUUUGUGCACUUGUUACAGGUCACAAAUCGUUGAUUUAUGUUCAUAGGUCACAUGUUGUAUUAUAUAGGUCACAAUUAAUUGGUCACAGACUAUAGUUCAUAGGUCAAGGUUAUGUUCGCAUGUCAAUAUUAAUUGGUCACAUGUUAUAGUUCACAGGUCAAACGUUCUAGUUCAUAGGUCACAAGUCAUAUUGUAUUGGUCACAAAUGUUCACUCGUCAAAUAUAAUUCACAGGUCAAUAUUAAUUGGUCACAGAUUAUAGUUUACAUGUCAUAUGUCACAAUGUUUACAGGUGACAGAUCCAAAAGAAUUGGUCACAAGCCAUUGAAACAAUAUCACAUGUAACAGAUCAAUGUCCACAGGUCAUGAAUCCAAGACAUUUGGUUACAAGCAAGUGGAUCAAUAUCAAAGAUAAUAGUGUACAGGUAAUUUAAAUUGAAGUUCAAGUAGGUAAUAUGCAAAUUCUCAUCUAUGUUUUAGUAAAUUAAAAAUCUAAACAAUCUGCCACCCUUGAGAUGCUAUACUCAUGGAUGGUAGCUUCCAUCUUCAAAUCUAAUUCAAAGCACUUUGCCAACAAUUCAGUGCAGCAACUAUAAAAAUGUUAGUCAUCGUCUUCAAAAAAUUCUGAUCUACCAUAACGAUAACUUUCAAUUUGUGAUCUCAAUUGUCCAAUUAUUUUCAAUCAAUCAAAUUCCAAUGGUGGUCUCUCUUCUGAUCAACGGUAAAUUUGUUCUUUAGAGAGUUUGAUUCGAGUUUUAAAAUUGUAAACCUUUUAUCUUAAAAUUGAUUUGAGGUAUAGUUAAGGCCUGAGAUAUGAUUUUUCCUCCAAACACAUUUUAUGGGAUCAAUAACUUUUAUCAACUUUUCAAUCACACAAUUUAUUAAUUUUUAUUAAAAUCUACUAAAAAUAUGAUUUUUAACUUAACCGAAAGGAGACCGAUUUCACAAUUACAUUGGUCGUGCUUCAUUGAAACUUCUCUCCCCUCAAUUUGACACUGUUAAACAGAAUUACUCUAAACAUUUUUUAACUGGAAACCAGAACUGUACAAUUCAUAAGAUUGAAAACCUAUUCUCGAAUAUUUGAAACCCCAAUAGACACAAUUCGAUUACAUUAUAC